ACCCGGAGAACUGAAACAUCUAAGUACCCGGAGGAAGAGAAAACAAAAGUGAUUCCGAUAGUAGCGGCGAGCGAAAUUGGAACAGCCCAAACCAGUGUUGUUACGGCAAUACUGGGGUUGUAGGACCACGACAUUCGAACUGCAAUGAACUAGAAUACUUUGGAAAAAGUAGCCAUAGACGGUGAUAGCCCGGUAUAGGUAAAGAACAGUAAGAUAGUGGUAUCCUGAGUAGUGCGGGGCACGUGAAACCCUGUAUGAAUCCGGCGGGACCAUCCGCCAAGGCUAAAUACUCCUGAGAGACCGAUAGUGAACUAGUACCGUGAGGGAAAGGUGAAAAGAACCCUGAAUAAGGGAGUGAAAUAGAUCCUGAAACCAUACGCUUACAAGCGGUCGGAGCCCUUUGGGGUGACGGCGUGCCUUUUGCAUAAUGAGCCUACGAGUUACUGUUGUUAGCAAGGUUAAGAUUUUAAGAAUCGGAGCCGUAGCGAAAGCGAGUCUGAAUAGGGCGCCAUAGUUAGCAGUAGUAGACGCGAAACCGUGUGAUCUACCCUUGGGCAGGUUGAAGCUGUAGUAACAUAUAGUGGAGGACCGAACCCGUUGACGUUGAAAAGUCUUGGGAUGACCUGAGGGUAGGGGUGAAAGGCCAAUCAAACUCGGAAAUAGCUCGUACUCCCCGAAAUGCAUUUAGGUGCAGCGUUGAUAUUAGUUUUAUAGAGGUAGAGCUACUGAUUGGAUGCGGGGGC
rnacentral:rRNA from 1 species